rnacentral:lncRNA from 1 species
GCCACGUCCACUUGUAUUUUUGUCCAUCUGACGAGUUAAGCCUUUUUCAACUGAUUGUUAUAGUUCGUUCUUAUGUUGUACUGUUAUACCACUGACCCAGGUUAGGGGAGGGUUGGGAUACCGCUAACAUGUUUAACCCCGCCACAUUAUUUAUGUAUGUGCCUGUCCCAAGUCAGGAGCCUGUAAUUCAGUGGUUGUCGUUUGUUUAUGUGUUACAUAUUUGUUUUUCGUUCAUUUUUUUUUAUAUAAAUAAGGCCGUUAGUUUUCUCGUUUGAAUUGUUUUACAUUGUCAUAUCGGGGCCUUUUAUAGCUGACUAUGCGGUAUGGGCUUUGAUCAUUGUUGAAGGCCGUACGGUGACCUAUUAUAGUUCUUAAAUUCUG